rnacentral:rRNA from 1 species
UACGAGUGCCCCAAGCGUUAUCCGGAAUCAUUGGGCGUAAAGGGUGUGUAGGUUGUCUUGUUAGUCUCUUGUGAAAUUCUUCGGCUUAACCGGGGGUCCGCAGGGGAAACGGCAAGACUAGAGGAUGUGAGAGGUGAAUGGAACUCAUGGUGUAGGGGUGAAAUCCGUUGAUAUCAUGGGGAACACCAAAAGCGAAGGCAAUUCACUGGCGCACUCCUGACACUCAAACACGAAAGCGUGGGUAGCGAAUGGG